rnacentral:rRNA from 1 species
AUUGAACGCUGGCGGCAGGCCUAACACAUGCAAGUCGAACGGUAACAGGAAGCAGCUUGCUGCUUUGCUGACGAGUGGCGGACGGGUGAGUAAUGUCUGGGAAACUGCCUGAUGGAGGGGGAUAACUACUGGAAACGGUAGCUAAUACCGCAUAACGUCGCAAGACCAAAGAGGGGGACCUUAGGGCCUCUUGCCAUCGGAUGUGCCCAGAUGGGAUUAGCUAGUAGGUGGGGUAACGGCUCACCUAGGCGACGAUCCCUAGCUGGUCUGAGAGGAUGACCAGCCACACUGGAACUGAGACACGGUCCAGACGCCUACGGGAGGCAGCAGUGGGGAAUAUUGCACAAUGGGCGCAAGCCUGAUGCAGCCAUGCCGCGUGUAUGAAGAAGGCCUUCGGGUUGUAAAGUACUUUCAGCGGGGAGGAAGGGAGUAAAGUUAAUACCUUUGCUCAUUGACGUUACCCGCAGAAGAAGCACCGGCUAACUCCGU